UGGGGAAUUUUGGACAAUGGGCGAAAGCCUGAUCCAGCAAUGCCGCGUGUGUGAAGAAGGCCUUCGGGUUGUAAAGCACUUUUGUCCGGAAAGAAAUCCUUGGCUCUAAUACAGUCGGGGGAUGACGGUACCGGAAGAAUAAGCACCGGCUAACUACGUGCCAGCAGCCGCGGUAAUACGUAGGGUGCAAGCGUUAAUCGGAAUUACUGGGCGUAAAGCGUGCGCAGGCGGUUUGCUAAGACCGAUGUGAAAUCCCCGGGCUCAACCUGGGAACUGCAUUGGUGACUGGCAGGCUAGAGUAUGGCAGAGGGGGGUAGAAUUCCACGUGUAGCAGUGAAAUGCGUAGAGAUGUGGAGGAAUACCGAUGGCGAAGGCAGCCCCCUGGGCCAAUACUGACGCUCAUGCACGAAAGCGUGGGGAGCAAACAGGAUUAGAUACCCUGGUAGUCCACGCCCUAAACGAUGUCAACUAGUUGUUGGGGACUUCAUUUCCUUAGUAACGUAGCUAACGCGUGAAGUUGACCGCCUGGGGAGUACGGUCGCAAGAUUAAAACUUAAAUGAAUUGACGGGGUCAUA
rnacentral:rRNA from 1 species